rnacentral:misc_RNA from 1 species
UUUCCGUAGGUGAACCUGCGGAAGGAUCAUUAAUGAAAACAACAUGGAAAGGGUUUUUUUACCCUUUUUCCAUCAACCACAUGUGAAUCUUUUUUAACCAUUUCACCUUUCCCCUCUGAGAUGGGGGGAAACGGGGUCAAUAACAUCUUAUUAUACACAUACAAACACAAACACAAAACAAAACUUUCAACAACGGAUCUCUUGGCUUGCCCAUCGAUGAAGAACGCAGC